UGGAGCUGGCAUGUCAGUUAACUGCUAGUAGUCUGUUGUUAUUUAUGUAUUAUUGUCAUUUUAUUUAUUUUCUUUUGUUACAUCUUUUGACAUCAGACUCGGACUUCUCUUGAACUGAAUUUUAAUGUGCGUAUUGUUAUUCUUUUACUUUUCUACAUUGGCUAGAGGUAUAGGGGGAGGGUUGAGAUCUCAUAAACAUGUUUAACCCCGCCGCAAUUUUGCGCCUGUCCCAAGUCAGGAGCCUCUGGCCUUUGUUAGUCUUGUAUGAUUUUAAAUUUUAGUUUCUUGUGUAUAAUUCGGAGUUUAGUAUGACGUCCAUUAUCACUGUACUAUUAUGCAUAUUUUAGGGGCCAGCUGAAGGACACCUACGGGUGCGGGAAUUCUCGCUACAUUGAAGACCCAUUGGUUGCCUUCGGCUGUUGUUUGCUCUAUGGUCGGGUGGUUGUCGCUUUGACAUAUUCACCAUUUCCUUUCUCAAUUUUAUUUUUAAAUUCCGUUUUAAUCUGUAAAAGAGGGACGAAGAUACCAGAGGUACAGUCAAACUCAGAAAUCGAAAAUAAAGUGGCAACGCCAUGGCUACAAAUGAAAAAGACAAACAGACAAACAAUAUUACACAUGACACAACAUAGAAAACUAACAGAAAAACAACACGAACCCCACCAAAAACUAGGGGUUAACAGAUCGUGUCCAAUUCCCGAAUAUUCAUUUUUUAAUUUGUUAAUUAUUAUGAUGGAAGAGUCGUAUAAAGAUUAUGUGACUCCCUCGGUUUCUGUUGGCUACCUUGAUUUGUCUCCUCUGAAUCAAUUUACGAGGUUCAAACAUUGGUAAACUAGUGUAGCAUUGGUAUAUUAAAAGACUUAUUGCUAUGUGAUUGUUUAUUUUACAAAGGCCAGAGAUACAUGUAUAUGGGAGGUUUGAAAUUUCACAAAACAUAAUUAACCCCG
rnacentral:lncRNA from 1 species